rnacentral:rRNA from 1 species
GUAGUCUCGCACAGAUGCAUAUCAAUAAGCGGAGGAAAAGAAACUAACAAGGAUUCCCCUAGUAACGGCGAGUGAAGCGGGAAGAGCUCAAAUUUGAAAUCUUAAAGGGUUUCCCUUUACGAAUUGUAGUUUAAAGAAGUGUUUUCUGUUGAGGUUUUGGUAAAAGUUCUUUGGAAUAGGACAUCAUAGAGGGUGAGAAUCCCGUAUUUGACCUUUACUUUCAACUUUGUGAUACACUUUCAAAGAGUCGGAUUGUUUGGGAAUGCAGUCCAAAAUGGGUGGUAAAUUUCAUCUAAAGCUAAAUAUUGGCGAGAGACCGAUAGCGAACAAGUACCGUGAGGGAAAGAUGAAAAGAACUUUGAAAAGAGAGUUAAACAGUACGUGAAAUUGUCAAAAGGGAAGCGUUUGACACCAGUGUUGUUUUUCUGAAAAUCAAUUAAAGAACUGUUUAUGCUAAGUUGUUUAGACUUUAUCAGCUAUCUGUUUAGUUUUGAGCUUUUCUUUAAUGCACUUUUCAGUUAACAAGUCAACAUCAAUUUCUUUUGCUGUAAAAAAGCUUGAGGAAGGUGGCUUGAGAUUCGUCUUAAGCGUUUAUAGCCUCUUGCCUAUGCAGUCGGAGAGAUUGAGGUCUGCAGCGUAGAUCCUUCGGGGCUAAAUGCAUUUGCUGCUAAGUUAUAGCAUUUCAUAGACAACUUGUUGACUAUGAUUUGUCUUGUAGCUUACUCGCUUAUGUUAUUUUACCUACGCUUAGGAUGUUGACGCGCGUGUGUGCGU